rnacentral:sRNA from 1 species
UUGAUGUCAUAUGGACUAAACUCCUCAAUUUAUCCAAAUUACAGAUAUGUUUCAGGCAGUGCAAUUUUCCAGAAGCUAACAUGCCAACAUGUCUCAACCUUGACCUACUUAUGGUACUUCCAAAGAUGAAUGAGUUUUUCAAACUCCUUAUCCUUUCAACCCUCGGAUUCU